UUGUGUAGGGUCGGUUAUGGUGGGGCUUAAGCAGUGGAACGUGCUAGAAAUCUCGUCAUGCGUCUACCGAUCAAUACUCGGUAUUUUCAUAUUUUUUCCGCCGAACGUACGAAAAUUGUCACAAACGUGGCAUGAAACGAAAGUUUACGAGACGGGGAACACGAUUGUAUCGGUGGUCGGGGAAUAUGUAAUCGGGAAAGAGCCGAAAUUCUCGAAGAAAGGAAUGUGCGCAGUAAUAUGCUGGGUGCCGGUGCGAGUCUCGAACGUUCUACGCUGCGUCGUCGCGCGCCUAUAUAAGAGGGCCGGCCGGUCUGCCUCGGUGCAUUCGUAAAUUAACUUUCGUUCAGUUCGGACGUGACGAACACCCGAAGACCCAUCAACCAGUGGCCACACAUCUUCGAUUCUUUUACGUGGUUUCAUCAAGCUGCCGACAACAGGACGUUAAAAUGUAGACAAGAGGCAUAUCCGGUACGGAGUGCGACAGUUUACCUGCACCCUAUGAGGUCGGUGCUCGAACUAUCCGUGCGCAACGAUAUAUUGGUACGGCUAAUUCGAAAUUUCUCCGCAUUUCGAAUUGUUUGAGAAGAGCAGUUCGAGAUCACAUGCAUUAGUUUAGAGCAGACUCGUAAUUUGAUCGAGAUAAAUCGUCGGGACCGUCUUCUUUAAACCGAAUAUCUACCACGAGGGCACACGGAACGUUGGAAUCGAGAAAAGACAAAACCGAACCGAAACAAAAAAAACCGCGUGCGAGGCUUUUACGCGGCACUAGGUUGCGAAUCAUCGCGAUUCGCCCCCGGCUCUCACCCUCCCUCUUCGUC